UGCAAGUCGAACGAUGAACCACUUCGGUGGGGAUUAGUGGCGAACGGGUGAGUAACACGUGGGCAAUCUGCCCUGCACUCUGGGACAAGCCCUGGAAACGGGGUCUAAUACCGGAUAACACUUCGGGCCUCAUGGUCUGUGGUUAAAAGCUCCGGCGGUGCAGGAUGAGCCCGCGGCCUAUCAGCUUGUUGGUGAGGUAAUGGCUCACCAAGGCGACGACGGGUAGCCGGCCUGAGAGGGCGACCGGCCACACUGGGACUGAGACACGGCCCAGACUCCUACGGGAGGCAGCAGUGGGGAAUAUUGCACAAUGGGCGAAAGCCUGAUGCAGCGACGCCGCGUGAGGGAUGACGGCCUUCGGGUUGUAAACCUCUUUCAGCAGGGAAGAAGCGAAAGUGACGGUACCUGCAGAAGAAGCGCCGGCUAACUACGUGCCAGCAGCCGCGGUAAUACGUAGGGCGCAAGCGUUGUCCGGAAUUAUUGGGCGUAAAGAGCUCGUAGGCGGCUUGUCACGUCGGGUGUGAAAGCCCGGGGCUUAACCCCGGGUCUGCAUUCGAUACGGGCUAGCUAGAGUGUGGUAGGGGAGAUCGGAAUUCCUGGUGUAGCGGUGAAAUGCGCAGAUAUCAGGAGGAACACCGGUGGCGAAGGCGGAUCUCUGGGCCAUUACUGACGCUGAGGAGCGAAAGCGUGGGGAGCGAACAGGAUUAGAUACCCUGGUAGUCCACGCCGUAAACGGUGGGAACUAGGUGUUGGCGACAUUCCACGUCGUCGGUGCCGCAGCUAACGCAUUAAGUUCCCCGCCUGGGGAGUACGGCCGCAAGGCUAAAACUCAA
rnacentral:rRNA from 1 species